rnacentral:rRNA from 1 species
GAUGAACGCUGGCGGCGUGCCUAAUACAUGCAAGUCGAGCGAACAGACGAGGAGCUUGCCCUUUGACGUUAGCGGCGGACGGGUGAGUAACACGUGGGUAACCUACCUAUAAGACUGGGAUAACUUCGGGAAACCGGAGCUAAUACCGGAUAAUAUUUCGAACCGCAUGGUUCGAUAGUGAAAGAUGGCUUUGCUAUCACUUAUAGAUGGACCUGCGCCGUAUUAGCUAGUUGGUAAGGUAACGGCUUACCAAGGCAACGAUACGUAGCCGACCUGAGAGGGUGAUCGGCCACACUGGAACUGAGACACGGUCCAGACUCCUACGGGAGGCAGCAGUAGGGAAUCUUCCGCAAUGGGCGAAAGCCUGACGGAGCAACGCCGCGUGAGUGAUGAAGGUCUUCGGAUCGUAAAACUCUGUUAUUAGGGAAGAACAAACGUGUAAGUAACUGUGCACGUCUUGACGGUACCUAAUCAGAAAGCCACGGCUAACUACGUG